GGUGAUUGGAGGAACAAUUGGAUCAUAGGCUUGAUAUGAUGAAUAAAUAAAUGGCCUGGUGACAUUUGGAGUGGCAGCCUUCCAGAUCUGCAAUUGCCAUAAAACUGAAGGGACAAAUAAUGAACCUGGGGUGGAAACACUGGGUUUAGGGACCAUAGAUUUGAUAUUACCUCACCAUCUGAUCAUCAGCCUUGAUUUUCCUCUCUUGGCUGCAUGCAGGGGCUAAAUGCCAGUUCCUUAUCAACUUCAUAAUAGAGACAAGAAGGUGAUGCUUGGAAAGUCCACCAAAGUUUAUGAAGCCUGCAGCAACCGAUAUGCUUAACCUGUACUGUAAUCUUGUUGUUCCAAGUGUCCUUUUAUUAUUAUUAUAAUUAUUAUUUGCUUUUGCUUUUUGGGGGGCUAUACCUGGCAUGUGGAAGUUCCCAGGCUAGGGGUCCAAUUGGAGCUGUAGCUGCUAGCCUACGCCACAGCCACAGCAAUGCGGGAUCCAAGCCUCAUCUGUGACCUACACCAGAGCUCACGGCAACGCCAGAUCCUUAAUUCAUUGAAUGUGACCAGGGAUCAAACCCUAGAAUUCCCCAAAUGUCCUUAUAACUUAAAAAAGAAAGGAAAAGAAAAAAGAAUAAUCUCAUCUUCUUAGGCCAAUGGAGAUGAUCACUUUUGCUUUGAAUAUGUCAACAAAGGAGCAAGUCAGACCAAGGGAGGAGACCCUGGAGUUCCUGUCGUGGCACAGUAGUUAACGAAUUCAACUAGGAACCAUGAGGUUGCAGGUUCGAUCCCUGGCCUUGCUCAGUGGGUCGAGGAUCCAGCGUUGCCGUGAGCUGUGGUGUAGGUUGCAGACGCGGCUCGGAUCCUGUGUUGCUGUGGCUCUGGCGUAGGCCGGUGGCUAUGGCUCCAAUUAGACCCCUAGCCCAGGAAUCUCAUAUGCCUCAGGAGCGGCCCUCAAAAAAAAAAAAAAAAAAAAGAGAGGAGACCUUAUGGUCUGAAAAGGAAAAUGAGAACCUUAUUCCUCUUCUAGGAAGAAUUUAAGAAAGAUGAUUUUUUUUUAAUAAUUUUUUUUUUAUUUUCCCACUGUACAGCAAGGGGGUCAGGUUAUCCUUACAUGUAUACAUUACAAUUACAUUUUUCCCCCACCCUUUCUUCUGUUGCAACAUGAGUAUCUAGACAAAGUUCUCAAUGCUAUUCAGCAGGAUCUCCUUGUAAAUCUAUUCUUUUUUUUUUUUUUUUAAAUCUAUUCUAAGUU
rnacentral:lncRNA from 1 species